GUUGAAAUCUAAGAGAGCUUCGUACAAAGGUAUACAUGUGUAUAAUACUGUUAUCAAACAUGAUAAUUAGGUUCAAAGUUCACAAAGUACGGACGAUAAUGUUUAGUAAACACGAGGGAAUGACUUAAAAUGAUAUCAAUUAUUUUAAAAAGGACUAUGAAAUAUGCCAAAAAGUCAUAAACGUUCGCCAAUUAUAACACGGAAAACUCUAUAUUGGAUUCUUAGUGUAACUAUUGUGUGUUAUUUAUUUCAUCUAUCUGUUGAUGUCCAGAAUUUGUCCAGAUUUGUUGAAGCGGAUCCCAAUGAUGUUUUCUACCUUCUAAAAGAUCCAGUCAAUCUUCUCAUUCUGCACCCUAAAGUAGUUGAAAUACAAAUAAUAGACAGACAUUCCCAGAUGACUCUGGACUUUGCCGAGUUUUACAUGACAGAACAGUUAUCCUACGGAAAUUCGACAACACUAGUUAAUAUGGUGGCAAAUCCCGUGGACAGAUCAGUGUCACUCAAAGUCAAUACAUUCCUGAAUCUAUUACACAUUUCUUUGGAUUGGAAACUCCACAGCAAAAACAAAGGUACAAAGACAUACACUCAUAUAGAGGAAGAAAUUCGUGUCAAAUGUCCUAUGUUAUUCAAAUACGUCAUUGGAGAUCUGCUGUAUGAGUAUAAUCAGAUUCUCAUGGACAGGAUUCAAUUAAGAUACUCAUCUGAACCUAGUAUUGCUCUCAUGUGAUCUACCAUAAUCUGUGAUAUUUUAUUAAUUUUGUAAUAAAUGAAACAAAUAAAA